rnacentral:rRNA from 1 species
GAUGAACGCUGGCGGCGUGCCUAAUACAUGCAAGUCGAGCGAACAGACGAGGAGCUUGCUCCUCUGACGUUAGCGGCGGACGGGUGAUUAACACGUGGAUAACCUACCUAUAAGACUGGGAUAACUUCGGGAAACCGGAUCUAAUACCGGAUAAUAUAUUGAACCGCAUGGUUCAAUAGUGAAAGACGGUUUUGCUGUCACUUAUAGAUGGAUCCGCGCCGCAUUAGCUAGUUGGUAAGGUAACGGCUUACCAAGGCAACGAUGCGUAGCCGACCUGAGAGGGUGAUCGGCCACACUGGAACUGAGACACGGUCCAGACUCCUACGGGAGGCAGCAGUAGGGAAUCUUCCGCAAUGGGCGAAAGCCUGACGGAGCAACGCCGCGUGAGUGAUGAAGGUCUUCGGAUCGUAAAACUCUGUUAUUAGGGAAGAACAAAUGUGUAAGUAACUAUGCACGUCUUGACGGUACCUAAUCAGAAAGCCACGGCUAACUACGUG